UACGUAGGGGGCAAGCGUUGUCCGGAUUUAUUGGGCGUAAAGAGCGUGUAGGCGGCUAGAUAGGUCCGUUGUGAAAACUUGAGGCUCAACCUCGAGACGCCGGUGGAAACCAUCUAGCUAGAGUCCGGAAGAGGAGAGUGGAAUUCCUGGUGUAGCGGUGAAAUGCGCAGAUAUCAGGAAGAACACCCGUGGCGAAGGCGGCUCUCUGGUACGUGACUGACGCUGAGACGCGAAAGCGUGGGGAGCGAACAGG
rnacentral:rRNA from 1 species